GUGGAUGUAGCUCAGUUGGUUAGAGCGCCGGAUUGUGGAUCCGGAGGUCGCGGGUUCAAAACCCGUCAUCCACCCCA
rnacentral:tRNA from 2 species